rnacentral:lncRNA from 1 species
UGAGUUCCGAUGGUUCGGUUAGCUUCGGGAGGUGAAUUAUGACUUAGGAGUGUGAUCGGAAUUUAUUUUGGAGGCCCGGUGUAGAAUUAGUCUUGAAUUGACAAAAUUGGUAUUUUGCUGAUUUCUGGUUGGUAGGUGAGAUUUUUAUCCGGGGGUCGGAAUGGAGUUCUAGAUUUAUAGUAGCUUCGUUAUGGAAAUUGGGAUGUGUGUGCAAAAAUACAAGUAAUUCGGAUGUGGUUUGGUUGGGCUUUUUAUCGAAAGCGUAUUCGAAAAUUUAUGGAAAGCUUAGCUUAAAUUCGAUGUGUUUUGGGUAAUUUGAUGUUGUUUGAGGUGUUUUGAUGAUUGUAGCAAGUUUGAAUAAGGUAUUGGGUCAUGUUUGUGCUUUUGUUAAGGUCCCGGGGGCCUCGGAGUGAUUUCGAAUGGUUAACGGGAAGAUUUGAGACUUGUGUGAUUUCAGAUUUCUGCUGCUUCUGGUGUUUUCGCACCUGCAAUUUGGGGACUACAGGUGCAGCGUCUCAGGUACGAGGGUGAAGGCCACAGAUGUGGAAUUUUGGGCUGAAGAGCAGUUUCCGUAGAAGAGUUCAAGGUGGUCGCAUCUGCGAAGCCGUAGAUGCGGAAGUUCUAUCGCAGAUGCGGUUUGGUACUUUAAGUGAAGAACCACAUAAGCGGUUGUUUGGGCCGCAUAUGCGGUAUCACAGAAGCGGGUUUUGAACCGCAUAUGUGGUAUAGCC